UUUUGGGAUUUUCGUUUUUACUGUUAACAAUUGACAUGGAUGACGGAAUAACCAGACGGUUACAUGUAGCAUGCCACGUUAUACCUCAUUUUAGCAUAAAGGGAUUAAUUUUUAACAAUAGAAAUAGAUAGAAUUUUUAACA
rfam:Gossypium raimondii Chr01_contig_261, whole genome shotgun sequence.